UUCGAAGCAACGCGAAGAACCUUACCAGGCCUUGACAUGCAGAGAACUUUCCAGAGAUGGAUUGGUGCCUUCGGGAACUCUGACACAGGUGCUGCAUGGCUGUCGUCAGCUCGUGUCGCGAGAUGUUGGGUUAAGUCCCGUAACGAGCGCAACCCUUGUCCUUAGUUACCAGCACGUUAUGGUGGGCACUCUAAGGAGACUGCCGGUGACAAACCGGAGGAAGGUGGGGAUGACGUCAAGUCAUCAUGGCCCUUACGGCCUGGGCUACACACGUGCUACAAUGGUCGGUACAAAGGGUUGCCAAGCCGCGAGGUGGAGCUAAUCCCAUAAAACCGAUCGUAGUCCGGAUCGCAGUCUGCAACUCGACUGCGUGAAGUCGGAAUCGCUAGUAAUCGUGAAUCAGAAUGUCACGGUGAAUACGUUCCCGGGCCUU
rnacentral:rRNA from 1 species